rnacentral:rRNA from 1 species
AACGAACGCUGGCGGCAGGCUUAACACAUGCAAGUCGAGCGCCCCGCAAGGGGAGCGGCAGACGGGUGAGUAACACGUGGGAACGUACCCUUUUCUACGGAAUAACGCAGGGAAACUUGUGCUAAUACCGUAUACGCCCUUCGGGGGAAAGAUUUAUCGGAGAAGGAUCGGCCCGCGUUGGAUUAGCUAGUUGGUGGGGUAAAGGCCUACCAAGGCGACGAUCCAUAGCUGGUCUGAGAGGAUGAUCAGCCACAUUGGGACUGAGACACGGCCCAAACUCCUACGGGAGGCAGCAGUGGGGAAUAUUGGACAAUGGGCGCAAGCCUGAUCCAGCCAUGCCGCGUGAGUGAUGAAGGCCUUAGGGUUGUAAAGCUCUUUCACCGAUGAAGAUAAUGACGGUAGUCGGAGAAGAAGCCCCGGCUAACUUCGUGCCAGCAGCCGCCGUAA